CUACGGGGGGCAGCAGUGGGGAAUAUUGGACAAUGGGGGAAACCCUGAUCCAGCAAUGCCGCGUGUGUGAAGAAGGCCUGCGGGUUGUAAAGCACUUUCGGUUGGGAGGACUGCUUCUAGCACUAAUAUUGUUGGAAGUUGACGUUACCUUCAGAAGAAGCACCGGCUAACUCCGUGCCAGCAGCCGCGGUAAUACGGAGGGUGCAAGCGUGAAUCGGAAUUACUGGGCGUAAAGCGCGCGUAGGCGGCUAGAUCAGUCGGGUGUGAAAGCCCCGGGCUUAACCUGGGAACUGCAUCCGAUACUGUCUAGCUUGAGGACAGGAGAGGAGAGUGGAAUUCCACAUGUAGCGGUGAAAUGCGUAGAUAUGUGGAGGAACACCAAUGGCGAAGGCAGCUCUCUGGCCUGAUACUGACGCUGAGGUGCGAAAGCGUGGGGAGCAAACAGGAUUAGAUACCCGGGUAGUC
rnacentral:rRNA from 1 species